rnacentral:rRNA from 1 species
GUGGGGAAUAUUCCGCAAUGGACGAAAGUCUGACGGAGCAACGCCGCGUGAGUGAUGAAGGUUUUCGGACUGUAAAGCUCUGUUGUUUAGGACGAAAGUGCCUGUUGCAAAUAGUUACAGGUAUUGACGGUACUGAACGAGGAAGCCACGGCUAACUACGUGCCAGCAGCCGCGGUAAUACGUAGGUGGCAAGCGUUGUCCGGACUUAUUGGGCGUAAAGAGCAUGUAGGCGGGAAUCUAAGUCUGUUGUGAAAAUGCGGGGCUCAACCCCGUAUUGCGAUGGAAACUGGGUUUCUUGAGUGCAGGAGAGGAAAGGAGAAUUCACAGUGUAGCGGUGAAAUGCGUAGAUAUUGGGAGGAACACCAGUGGCGAAGGCGCCUUUCUGGACUGUGUCUGACGCUGAGAUGCGAAAGCCAGGGUAGCGAACGGGAUUAGAAACCCGGGUAGUCC